rnacentral:rRNA from 1 species
ACGGGAGGCAGCAGUGGGGAAUAUUGGACAAUGGACGCAAGUCUGAUCCAGCGAUGCCGCGUGAAGGAAGAAGGUCUUCGGAUUGUAAACUUUAGUGAGUAGGGACGAUAGUGACGGCACCUGCAGAGCAAGCCACGGCCAACUACGUGCCAGCAGCCGCGGUAAUACGUAGGUGGCGAGCGUUAUCCGGAAUUACUGGGUGUAAAGGGUGAGCAGGCGGGAAGGCAAGUCAGAUGUGAAAUGCAGGAGCUCAACUCCGGAGCUGCAUUUGAAACUGUUUUUCUUGAGAGUCGGAGGGGUAAGCGGAAUUCCCAGUGUAGCGGUGAAAUGCGCAGAGAUUGGGAGGAACACCGGUGGCGAAGGCGGAUUACUGGACGACAACUGACGCUGAGACACGAAAGCGUGGGGAGCAAACAGGAUUAGAUACCCUGGUA